GCUGUCUUUAUCACAAACAGUAAAAGGCUUAAAGAUUGAUAUUCGAGAUUUUAAAUUCGAAGUUUAGUUAUCUCAGAUUUUAACUAAAUUCAUUUGAAAAAAAAAUAACUACGAAACAAAUAACAUACUAUCUUACUCUCCGAACAAAAAAAAAAGAAAAAAAAAAAGAGGAAAGUGUGGCUUCAAACAUUUUGCCUGUGGGUGUUACCUUGGAAAAAUUAUAAAAUGCAUGAAUUAUAUUAGUGACGGGCAUCCUCAAGCAAUUAAAUAAUUUUUUUAGAUUAAUCCGUCAAUCAUAAUUUUUUUAUUAUAUAUUGUUUUAAAGAAAGAGAUGUGAUUGAUUUAUAAUUACUGCGGCGGUGCAAGUAUGAUACUAUAGACUUUCUCGUUACCUUG
rnacentral:lncRNA from 1 species